GCUUAUUUCAACAGCACAUAUAUUAAAACUGAAACAAUACAGAGAAGAUUGUCAUGACCCCUGUGCAAGGAUGACAUGCAAAUUUGUGAAGCAUUCCACAGUUUU
rfam:Erinaceus europaeus unplaced genomic scaffold scaffold00557, whole genome shotgun sequence